AUUCCAAAAGCGUGGUCGUCGCGAGAAUUCAUGGUCGAUUCUCUCUAUGGAUUCCUUUUAUACACACUCCUUCCUAUUUACAGAUUCAAGGCCUGAGCCAGCCACAAUUACUACAAGAUAUGCCAGUUUCUGCUUGUGGUGGUGGAUUGGCCUGUCGUCAGCAACAAUCUCAUCUCAUCACUUGGAUAAACAUCAUCCCACUUGAUUGGAUAACCUACCUAUGGCCGAGCUACGGAUCUCCUUUUCCCCUUUCUUUCAAUGUCCUCGUGUACGCCCAUGCGAGUGUGGGUGUAUUCACGAGGACACCCUUUUCCCUAUCCUUCCUGGUGUUGGAUUCAACUUUUCAGCGGAUGGAAUACGUGUGGAAGCCUGGCUGCAUUUCCCAGGCUUAAAGGGUAUGAGAGGAGAUGAGAGUGUAAUUUCUCCGGCCUGGCGCCAUAGCACACGGAAAUGAGUGGGCUGCUGAGAAUGGGGCGGAACGACGACGACGUUUCUUUUUUCUUUUUUUAAAUUUUCUUUUCACCAAGGGGUUUGUGUGUUGUUGUUAAAAGAAAAAUUCAUCUUCUCCUAAUUCCCUUGUUCUGUGUUCCAAGUUGUCCUCUUCAUCUUUUCUGGCUGUUUAAAGAUGAGAAACUCGCUGGUUUUUGGAGGUGUCAAAUGGCAAUCAAUUAUCUUUUUUUUCCUCUCCCCAGUCUCUUUUUGCUUAUAUUCUCUCUCCAUAUCCUUUGGGCCAUCAAUGCCGUGUAUAUAUAUACGUCAACGUUGUUCUUGCUGGGCGCCCCGGAGAAAUAAGAAAAUGAUUGAUGAGGUCGUAUAUAUAUAUCUCUACAUUUUUACGACUCUGGCGACUUCCGAUUCUCUUUUUCUCUCUCUCACCACCACAUAGAAGGAAGAUGAGUCUAAUAUCUGUCCUAUCUGUCCCAUCCCUCUCUCGUCAAAUGAAUGAAUGGGCCUGAUGUAUUGAUCGGUCCCGUGAGUUUUUGAUUUCUCCUAACCGCAGCAGCAGCAGCAUCUUUCCCCCCUCUCUCUUUCAUAUCACAUUCGGUGAUAUGUGUCUUGUGCUGGUCCUCUUUUUAAUAGCCGGUCACAAAGGCCCCACUGGAGUCUAUACAGAAAGGGGAGGAGUCGGGUCAAAGUCAUCGAUGCGCAUCUAUUGCGCUGGGAGAAGAAGUAGAAGAGAAAAAGGGGAUAAAGAUAUAAGUGGUAGUCCCUCCGGUGUUGGUUGUGCCGAGAGGAAAAGACUGCAGGGUUGAUUGCUGUAUAGUAUAUCCUCUCUUGAAUAUAUUUGGGCUGGCUGCUGGACUGUUGUUGCUGCUGCCGGGGUGCGAUGUUCAUCUUUUUACAGCGACCCCGCCCGUUAUAUAUACAUCGCUGUAUGGGAGCUAUAGCUAGAAACGUCUAAUAAGGAUACACAUCUGCGUGUGUGUGUGUAUCCAUAUGGAUGUAUAGAUAGCCCAUACAUAUAUCGCUUCUGUUUGACCGCGCCCAUAUUCUGACUUUUCCGAUGACUUGACUGAGAUAUCUCCGAGUUUCUCGGCUACACACACACACAGCAACUUGACCACUGUCUGUGUGUUCUGGAGCCCCCCUUUGCUGCUGCUGGGUCCCCAUUGCACUUUCUCCCAGAAGACCCAGUAGCGCUAGCUAGCCUCUCCAUCGAGUCGUUCCUUAUAAUAUCCGUUUUUCUCUUCUUUUUUUCCUUUUAUUUUUUGAGAGUUCCAAGAUUGUAGAAGAUUGAUCUCCAGAGAGUCAUCGGCGGAGAGAGCGGUUAAAUCAAGUGCACAGUAUUGAGAUAAACGAACGGCUGAUGUGGGGAGGCAAAAGGUCAAAUGGAUUUCAAGGAAAAAAAUAUAAGGGAAUAUACAGAAUUGGCCCAUUCAUCAACUGGCCAGCCAGCAGCGGUUAUUACGAUCUAUAAAAAGGGGGGACCCGUCAAAUAAAUUGGUUUGGAAUUCCUCCAAGACUUUUUUGUUUUAUUUUUUUUCCUUUUUUUGUUGAUCGUCCAUACUCGGCCGCAUUGGGAGAAUUAAAUAAGGGGGUCACGUGAGAUUGUUAUAAUUAGUCGGCUGACAUCAUCAGCGCAUGUAGAUUUACGAGCGGGGGGCUUCAAACAGCAUUCGAAAGUGCGCACACAUGCUGCAACUGGGCGCAAAUGAUGCCAGUCGUUGAUUAACUCCCUGCUGAUUUAAUCGGCGCCCGUUUCUUGGAAUUAUCAGAUGAAAAAAGAAAAAACAAAAAUAAAGGGGGGAAAGAAAUUUGGUGAAAAUUUGGGAAAACAAAUCGACGGGAGAUACGGCUGGUGUCUAUAGAGCUGCGAGAUUUUGGUUGAGUUUAUUGCGAGACAGUAAUAACGCCACUCCCUUAUCGUGUUGGCUGCCUCUCAGCUGUGGCUCCUAUACUAAUAUACGAAUGACUUUUGAAAUUGAUUAGCAUUCGAACGGGACGACACACGCAUUGCUCGCUCCCAAUUGAGUCCUACUCACGUUGCACGCCACAUGAGACUCUAUACGUAAAGGGGGGAGAAGAAAGAAGAAGAAGAAUAACGGCACCCACCGAACAAAAUUACUGGCAGCUCGAGUCACUUUGUCGUUAUCAAUGAAGUUUCACGUUUCACUGUUGCGACUCUACAGAACAAAAAAAUAAGGAGCUGCGUGUCCGGUUCUGUUUUUUUUCUUUCCUUAUUUUGGAAAGAUAUACUCGUUUUUCUCUCUCUCUCUUGUUGUGUUACUAUACUUUAAAGUUUUUGUCAACUCGUUUGUUUUUCUUUUUCUCCUGAUCUGAUGCGACCCGACAGCAAAUCCAUUCCCAAAAAAGAAAAGGGCGCGUACAAACAGCACCUUAUGCUGUUUGGUUAUGACUCUCUUUUCUCGUUCGUCCAUUAGGAACCAACGCGGUUGGGAUACUGCCCAGCAAAGAAGGGCUGCGCUGGGCGACUGUUAUAAGAGAGCCAUCAGUGUCGGAGCACACACACGGUCCGGCUGUGUGUUAUUAUUAUAAGUUAGAAAUUGGGAAUGUAGACUAGGAAAAGGGAGCCCCUUGUGUGUAGUAUAUCCAUUAGCUAUAGGCAUUUGAGUUAUAGGUGGCCAGGCAGUCAGGCCCGGCUCGGUUGGUGGAUAUCCAACACUUGGACGAAUUUCUCGUCACCGUCCGCUUCAAUGUUCUUCCCGCCGCCACCUCCCGCGCUCAUCAUUAGUUACCGUAUACCGCAGAUGGGGCUCGUUAUGAGUGCCGCUCGGUUUUGUCCCUCGGUCGGGCCGUGGUCGCAAUGUAAUAUCGAAAAACGAUGGGGGGAAAAAAUAAAAGGAAGGUUGCGCUCGCCAUGCAUGGGGGGUUAUUAUGCGCAGUACAUUAUGGAAAAAUACUUAUGACUUGAGGGUGAGAGUGUCAAAAAAUAAAGGGGGACCUCUCUUUCACUUUGGUUUUUUGAUCAUUAGUCAAAUGGCAAAACGGCAUGAGCGCAAAUAGAGAGGCGAAACAGACCUAAUCGCUUUUCCCACACUAUAGACUCCAAAUGUUGGGUAAUGGCUACUUCACCACAGGCGAAACAAUCAGUGUAAAAUACUAGGGCAAAGUCUACUUUUUCUUUUUCUUUACGAGUUCCCAUAUAAACCAAUCAACUGCAUUCCUCAAUCGAUUCCGGCGGAAAGAUUCGCUCCAGCCUCAAUUCAGAGCCACACCUUAUCAAUAUAAUAUCACCACCGUGUAUACAGUCGGUCACAAUGCCGAGUCACACAUAACGAAAAUAUUUCUGUAUAUUCUCGUAUAGAAAUCAAAUCCCAAAAUAUGUUUUUCUUCUCCCCCCCUUGUAAAAAAAAAUUGAAUUGAAAAUUGAAUUGGGCGCGGAUCGACAAUGUGGAGGAAUUCGGGGAAUCCGCGUCCAUAUUUCUCCAAUGUGGCCAGCGUGUGUGUACGUCUAUUUUUCAAUGAAGAGUCUUCGCAGCUGUGAUAUGGAAAGAGGAGGAGUUAGUCAAGUCAAUAGGUCGCCUACAAUGUAACGAUAGCCAAAACCGCUUUGCACUUUUAUUCCCCUCCGAAAAAAAAAAAUGUACAACCGUAUACAACAUAAACUACAUACACACACAGCCAUACAUGGUCUGAGCAUGGAGAGAGUGAAGUGGUUGAAAGAGAGGAAUACACAAAAAAAGUAAAAUCAGACCGAGAUGUUAAAGAAGCCAUUCGUUCUGGAUACCUGACAAUCAAUGGAGCGUCCCCGAAUAGGUCCCUCUGUCUGUGUUCAAAAAGGUGAAUGAACACAGGGCUGAAGAUUGUUGGGUUCCCUGCAUUAUGUGAAUGUAUACAAGGACCCAAAGUCUCUCUGUUGUGAAGACAAGAAAAGAAGAAGAAAAGGGGGGAGGAAAAUG